rnacentral:snoRNA from 1 species
GCGAGGAGGAGGCACGGGGUUCUCCCCGGUGAGCCAGGCCAGCUCUUGGUGUUGCUUCGCUGCAGGUGCCAUUUGGCAUUGAGGAUUGUUUUUCUCCUCCUCGGGGAAAGUAAGAGGGAGAGGACACAGUCUGAGU